GGCUCAGGACGAACGCUGGCGGCGUGCCUAACACAUGCAAGUCGAACGGGCCUGGGGGUAACUCCAGGUCAGUGGCGGACGGGUGCGUAACACGUAAGCAACGUAUCCAACGGUGGGGGAUAGCCGGCCCAACGGCCGGGUAAUACCGCAUACGGUCGCCCGGGACAUCCCGGGUGAGGAAAGUGGGGGCAACCUCACGCCGAUGGAGCGGCUUGCGGCCUAUCAGCUAGUUGGUGAGGUCACGGCUCACCAAGGCGACGACGGGUAGCUGGUCUGAGAGGAUGAUCAGCCACAUUGGGACUGAGACACGGCCCAGACUCCUACGGGAGGCAGCAGUGGGGAAUCUUGCGCAAUGGGCGAAUGCCUGACGCAGCGACGCCGCGUGUGGGAUGACGGCCUUCGGGUUGUAAACCACUGUCGGGGGGGACGAAGGCCCGGCGGCGAACAGCCGACCGGGAUUGACGGUACCUCCAAAGGAAGCACCGGCUAACUCCGUGCCAGCAGCCGCGGUAAUACGGAGGGUGCGAGCGUUGUCCGGAAUCACUGGGCGUAAAGGGCGCGUAGGCGGCUGGGUAAGUCACGCGUGAAAUUCCGGGGCUCAACUCCGGAACGGCGUGUGGGACUGCCCGGCUAGAGCACGGUAGAGGCGAGUGGAAUUCCAGGUGUAGCGGUGGAAUGCGUAGAUAUCUGGAAGAACACCGGUGGCGAAGGCGGCUCGCUGGGCCGUUGCUGACGCUGAGGCGCGAAAGCGUGGGGAGCAAACAGGAUUAGAUACCCUGGUAGUCCACGCUGUAAACGAUGGGCACUAGGCGUCGGGGGGAGCGACCCCCCCGGUGCCGUCGCUAACGCAAUAAGUGCCCCGCCUGGGGAGUACGGCCGCAAG
rnacentral:rRNA from 1 species